rnacentral:rRNA from 1 species
CGCUAUGCUCAGCCAUAAACUCUGAUAGACCAUUACAUCCGCUAUCCGCCCGGGUACUACGAGCGUAAGCUUAAAACCCAAAGGACUUGGCGGUGCUUAACAUCCCCCUAGAGGAGCCUGUCCUGGAACCGAUAAUCCCCGUUCAACCUCACCCUCUCUUGUUCUUCCCGCCUAUAUACCUCCGUCGUCAGCUUGCCCUUUGAAGGUCCCAUAGCAAGCACAAUUGGUACUACCCAAAACGUCAGGUCGAGGUGUAGCUAAUGAGAGGGGAAGAGAUGGGCUACAUUUCCUAAAUUAGGAAAUACACGGAUAGUAAUUCUGAAAUGAAAACUAGAAGGAGGAUUUAGUAGUAAGUAGAAAGCAGAGUGUCCUACUGAACCCGGCCCUUAAGCGUGCACACACCGCCCGUCACUCUCCCCGAGCACAAGCAAUCCACAUAAUUAAAACACCACCCAGUGCGCCAGGGGAGGCAAGUCGUAA